UACGUAGGGGGCAAGCGUUAUCCGGAUUUACUGGGUGUAAAGGGAGCGUAGGCGGCUUAGUAAGUCAGAAGUGAAAGCCCGGGGCUCAACUCCGGGACUGCUUUUGAAACUGUGUGACUGGAGUGCAGGAGAGGUAAGCGGAAUUCCUGGUGUAGCGGUGAAAUGCGUAGAUAUCAGGAGGAACACCAGUGGCGAAGGCGGCUUACUGGACGGUAACUGACGCUGAGGCAUGAGAGCAUGGGGAGCAAACAGG
rnacentral:rRNA from 1 species